rnacentral:lncRNA from 1 species
UUAUUAUAAUAAUAGCUAACAUUUAUUUAGUGAAUGUGCAUUAUGCCAACUCUUUCCAAAUACUUGACUUUUAGCAUCUCAUUUAAUCCACACAAUAAUUUGAUGAGGAUGGGUAACAAUGAGAUCCAUUUAAUACAUAGAAAAAUGAGGCAUACUGCGGGGUUAGCACCAUGUUCAGGAUCACUUAUGUACUGUGGGUAGAGCCAAAAUAUGAACGCAGGUAGCCUGGUGCCAGGUCUCACUGCAGCUUUUCUAUGAUAUGGAUUGAAGCCAAGUUUUAGGCAGCAUUUAGUAAUUAUCAGCUUUUGCUCUCAAUCUAGCCUUUUAUAUUAGUUUUAUAUAAUUCUCAAGCCCUUAAGAAAAUGAAUAGAAGUCACAUAUUAGUCAUGAAUCAUGUUUGGGAAAAGGGAACCACAACAGAGCUUGAUAGCGAUGCAUUUCAUUUCAGUUCUUUUAUAAAAAUCAGUGUGUGACGCCAUUCUUUCCCGUCCUGCCUUUUUUUUUUUUUUUUUUUUUUUUUUUUUUUUGACGGAGUUUCGCUGUUGUUGCCCAGGCUGGAGUCCAAUGGCGCGAUCUCGGCGCACCGCAACCUCCGCCUCCCGGGUUCAAGCAAUUCUCUUGCCUCAGCCUUCCGAGUAGCUGGGAUUACAGGCAUGCGCCACCACGUCUGGCUAAUUUUGUAUUUUUUUUUAGUAGGGACGGGGUUUCUCCACAUUGGUCAGACUGGUCUUGAACUCCAGACCUCAAGUGAUCCACCCGCCUUGGCCUCCCAAAGUACUGGGAUCUGUUCUGCCUUUUCACCUUCCACCAUGACAGCUCUUUCUCUGUCUUCUGCAGACUCAUCUUCUACGCGUCAUUCAAAUAUUGGUGGUCUACAGCAGCGGUCCCCAAACUUCUUGGUACCAGGGCCAGUUUUGUGGAAGACAAUUUUCCUAAAUACCAGAAAGAGGAAAAGCUGGGGUUUGGUUUCAGGAUGAAACUUCCACCUCAGAUCAUCAGGUUAGAUUCUCCUAAGUAGAGCGCACGUUGGAUCCCUCGCAUGCGCAGUUCACAAUAGGUUCACGCUCCUGUGAUAAUCUGCUCCCUCGCCUGCCCACCCACCCGCCAGUACCCCUGGUCUAGAGGAUCUUUGGCUCAGGACCUUUCUCCAUAAAUUUCCAAGUGAUAUGACCAGUGGGCACCAAAGACUACCUGUGUGCAUUAGUGGCUUCCAAAUCCUCUCGUCUAGACCAUGCUUAUCUUGUGGAAGAUUUACGAAGAGAAGACUGAAGUAUAGACAAGUUGAAG